UUGGGAGGAAGAUUUUUUUGGGCCUCUUCCCCCACCCCCGCCCUCCGCAUCUUUUCGCGUCCGCAUCCGCCGAUGCCUGGAGACGAGAACGACGACGACGAGGAGGAGGAUGAGGAGGGGGGGGGGAGGAGGAGGAGGUCUCGCUGAAUAUUUAAUCGCGAGCCCGGAUCGAAGCGGCGCACGCGUUUGAUUCAUUAUUGAGACAGCGCCGCCAGCGUGCACAACAACCACCGCUGCCGCUUGUACCACGAACACGCCGACCGGGAUGCCGGGUUCACUCUCCGUGAUGGGGCUGCGAGUAGCCCGGCAGCAAUCCAUGAGAGCCUCAGAGUCGAGCCGCUGCUCCUCCGGAUCUAGAGGAGCCAAGUUAAGCGAGUGGUGAAAUAUGUUCCGUAGCUGCACCCCGGACAGCUCCGGCUGAUACGAAGCCCCGAUUAGUAUGGACACGCUGGUGCGUGCGUGUCAUCUGAAAUCGACCGCGACUGCGGGGCGAGGCGUUGUUCUGGCUCCAGACGAUCAGAGGCGUGCCGGCUGGCUGGUGGACUUCGCACCGAGGCGGCAGGACGACAAUGGGGCGGCGUCAACCCCCGCCGAUCGAUAACGGCGUUCGGCAUCGCGCGACAGCGGAGAUUCCAACGACUCCCCACCACCCACCACACUCCAUCGCUCCCACAGCAAGAUUCCCCGAGCGGGCUGCUUGGGUGCUCGUGCUGUUUGCGAGCACCUAUUGAGCCACACCACGGCGCACGAGCGGCGGUGGUGUGGCCCGAACACCACGCCCAGUCGUCUUUGUCUCCCCGGUGCUGAUUUUGUGUGUGUGCGUUUUUUUUUUUACACUGCAGACGGAUAGUCAAUUAAAGGGCUGCUGAUUCGUUCAAAGUGAGGCCCAGGGCUGGAUGAGAUAUUGGUCACUGAUGUUGGCCCUGAGAGGGGAAUGCAACUCGGAUGGUCCGUGGUUUGCAGCACAGUUGCGCUAACCACCGCGCCUCUCAUCUCUACCUCCACAACAACCGCUCUGCCCUAGGGUCACGAUUCGAUUCGAGGAUCGAUCAUUUUUGUUUUGUUCCGCCCGUUUCGUGGAAUCCUGCCUUGGUUGUAUCGUCUAAUAUGCGUAGACGUUUCGGGAAAUGACCCUUCUGGGCCCUUCUUCGUGCGUGAAAAGUUUCUGCCAAUUGUCCUUCUGCAUUUCCACAAACGUCUCGCCUAUUAUAUAUAUUAUAAAUUG